GUUUUGAAGUAAGAUUUUUGAUUUUGGGUCCGGUUUUAAAUUGGCCCACAGGGUCCAAAAUAAAAUUUGAGGUUCUUUGGUAGGCUGAAUCCAUACAUGAUUGUGUUUAUUAUUAUUUUUUAAUUUUUGGCCCAUUUAACAAGUUUGUGGGGUCCAAACUGUCAAGAAAUAAAUUCUUUUGGAUUUCAACAACAGUUGAAUAUUUGGGGUACUUUGGAAUGCUGAAUCUUACCGUGUUUUUAAAUUUGGGAUUUUGGUAUUUUGGGCCAAGUUAUCGAAAUGGUCCACAUUGAGGCCCAAAGGGUCCGAAAUUCAACAUUUUUUUGAUUUCAUCAAAAAUGAAGUCUAGCUUGAAUGUUGUGUACAUACUUACCCCAAACUGUUCAGGGUUCGACCUCUGCGGUAGUAUCAAGGGUGCUGUACAACACGUACAUCAUGUUCCAAUGCAACUUUAUCAGUAUACGUUUUUGACAGAUAAAGUUUGCCCUACACAACUUGACUUGCAUUUCAAGCUUUAAUGACUUUGGAUAAUUAUAUGUCACAUUGUCGUUUUCAUUUUAUACAGUAAAGAACAUGCAAGCAACAAUCGAGCUAAAAACUAUCUUUCCUUCAGAAUAUGGAUGUUGAGGCAUUUGGGGGCUCAACAAUAGGGGAGGCAAGUGAAGAUGAAUCACAGAAAAAAGAAAGAAAGUUAAGGAGGGGUCUUCAUACCAAUGCACGUAUUGUCCUUUCAAGACAAAAUGGGUAGCUAGUUUUCCCAGGCAUAAGAAGAUCCACACUAAUGGGUUAAACAAAUGUGACCAGUGUGAAUUAAAAUUUUAAGACUUCUCAAUAAGCAUAACAACUGAUAGCAUGGAGAAAGCCUGAUUUGUACUCAUUGUUCCAAACACUUCAAAAGCAGAACUGGGCAGUGGCGGAUUCCAGAACUUUUUGUAAGGCGGGCCCGAUGGCUGACCUAAAAAAGGGGGGACGGGGCUCAAGUCAUGCUUCAGUGAUUCCCUAUAUAAUCAACCAAAUUUUUCCAAGG
rnacentral:lncRNA from 1 species